rnacentral:rRNA from 1 species
GACGAACGUUGGCGGCGUGCUUAAUACAUGCAAGUCAACUGAAGCAGUGGUAGCAAUAUCGCUGUGGAGGUGGCGCACGGGUGAGUAACACGUAGGUAAUCUGCCUUCAGGUCUGGCAUAACUCCGGGAAACCGGGGCUAAUAGCAGAUGAUGCAGCGGCUCGACAUCGAGACAGUUGUUAAAGCUAUGGCGCCUGAAGAUGAGCCUGCGUCUGAUUAGCUAGUUGGCGGGGUAACGGCCCACCAAGGCAACGAUCAGUAGCUGGUCUGAGAGGAUGAUCAGCCACACUGGAACUGAGACACGGUCCAGACUCCUACGGGAGGCAGCAGUAAGGAAUAUUGCUCAAUGGGAGAAAUCCUGAAGCAGCAACGCCGCGUGAGGGACGAAGGGCUUUUGCUUGUAAACCUCUGUAGUGAGAGAAAAAAAUCCCAAUCUUUGGGACAUGAUGGUAUCUCAAAAGUAAGCCCCGGCUAACUACGUA